rnacentral:rRNA from 1 species
GACGAACGCCGGCGGCGUGUCUAAUACAUGCAAGUAGAACGCACAGUUUAUACCGUAGCUUGCUACACCAUAGACUGUGAGUUGCGAACGGGUGAGUAACGCGUAGGUAACCUGCCUGGUAGCGGGGGAUAACUAUUGGAAACGAUAGCUAAUACCGCAUAAUAUUAAUUAUUGCAUGAUAAUUGAUUGAAAGAUGCAACUGCAUCACUACCAGAUGGACCUGCGUUGUAUUAGCUAGUAGGUGAGGUAACGGCUCACCUAGGCGACGAUACAUAGCCGACCUGAGAGGGUGAUCGGCCACACUGGGACUGAGACACGGCCCAGACUCCUACGGGAGGCAGCAGUAGGGAAUCUUCGGCAAUGGACGAAAGUCUGACCGAGCAACGCCGCGUGAGUGAAGAAGGUUUUCGGAUCGUAAAGCUCUGUUGUAAGAGAAGAACGGGUGUGAGAGUGGAAAGUUCACACUGUGACGGUAUCUUACCAGAAAGGGACGGCUAACUACGUG